AUCUUCUUAGUAUAUUAGUAUAAGUGACUUCCAAUCACUUGGCCUCGACUAGCCCCGAGAGAAGAUA
rnacentral:tRNA from 1 species